AUUGAACGCUGGCGGCAGGCCUAACACAUGCAAGUCGAACGAGUGGCGCACGGGUGAGUAAUGUCUGGGAAACUGCCUGAUGGAUGGGGAUACCUACUGGAAACGGUAGCUAAUACCGCAUACCAUCGGAUGUUCCCAGAUGGGAUUAGCUAGUAGGUGGGGUAAAGGCUUACCUAGGCGACGAUCCCUAGCUGAUCUGAGAGGGUGAACGGCCACACUGGAACUGAGACACGGUCCAGACUCCUACGGGAGGCAGCAGUAGGGAAUAUUGCACAAUGGGCGAAAGCCUGAUGCAGCCACGCCGCGUGUAUGAAGAAGGCCUUCGGGUUGUAAAGUUCUUUCAUCGGGGAAGCGGUACCCAAAGAGGAAGCACCGGCUAACUCCGUGCCAGCAGCCGCGGUAAUAC
rnacentral:rRNA from 1 species